CAAGUCGAACGCGAAAGUCCUUCGGGAUGAGUAAAGUGGCGCACGGGUGAGUAAUGGUUGAGAACGUGCCCUUAGGUGGGGAAUAACAGUUGGAAACGACUGCUAAUACCGCAUGGUGUCGCAAGACUAAAGGUGGGGAUCGCAAGACCUACCGCCAAAGGAUCGGCUCAACUCCCAUUAGCUAGUUGGCAGGGUAAUGGCCUACCAAGGCAACGAUGGGUAUGUGGUCUUGGAGGAUGAUCACACACACUGGAACUGAGACACGGUCCAGACUCCUACGGGAGGCAGCAGUAGGGAAUAUUGCACAAUGGAGGAAACUCUGAUGCAGCAACGCCGCGUGAGUGAAGAAGGCCCUUGGGUCGUAAAGCUCUUUAGCCUGGAAAGAAGUGUCCGCGAGUAAACAAUUCGCGAGUGUGACGGUACCAGGAGAAUAAGGACCGGCUAAUUUCGUGCCAGCAGCCGCGGUAAUACGAAAGGUCCAAGCGUUACUCGGAAUCACUGGGCGUAAAGCGCGCGUAGGCGGUCUCGUAUGUCGAUUGUGAAAGCCCCGGGCUCAACCUGGGAACUGCAGUCGAAACUGCGAGACUUGAAUGUUGGAGAGGUUGGGGGAAUACCUAGUGGAGAAGUGAAAUUCGUAGAGAUUAGGUGGAACACCAGAGGCGAAGGCGCCUGACUGGCCAAACAUUGACGCUAAGGCGCGAAAGCGUGGGUAGCAAACAGGAUUAGAUACCCUGGUAGUCCACGCUGUAAACGAUGGACACUAGCCGUUCGAAGCAUUAACCCUUUGAGUGGCAAAGUUAACACAUUAAGUGUCCCGCCUGGGAAGUACG
rnacentral:rRNA from 1 species